AUGAGGCGGCCUUCGGCUCGGAGGACCGUCGAGCCCAAUGAAUCUCCUAAGUUGGAACUGCUGGGGAGGGGGAAUACCUGGACAGUUCAUGAGCUAGCGACUCUUUGUCAGUCGCAUUCCCCCACUUUGUUUUUCUUAUGUGAGACAAGGCAGAAGGCGGACAAGUUGAAAAGAAUUCAAGGAAGGUUGGAUUUGAAGGGUUUUUGUGGCGUGGAUAGUAACGGUAUGAGCGGUGGUUUGGCUCUAUAUUGGCAUGAAUCUUAUGACGUUCAGAUUUUGGAUAAGAAGGAUAGAUAUAUCAACGCACUGGUGCGAGUCCAUCCGGAUGUUGCGCAGUGGAGAGUCACUUGCGUGUAUGGAGAACCUAGAGUGGAAAACAGACUGUUAAUGUGGUCGACGUUACAGAACUUGAAAAGUGUUAGUGAUCUGCCAUGGUUAGUUGUCCGUGAUUUUAAUGAGGCUAUGUGGAAGUUCGAGCACAUAUGUCUGUCACGCUGA
rnacentral:rRNA from 1 species